ACGGUAAUUAACAACGUUGGCUGUCAUGUAUGUCACCGGUGCCUUACGUGGUGCACUGAAGUAAUUAUGCCGAUUUCUCUCUUCAAUGUUCUUACCAAAGCGCCGGAAUACCUAGAAUAGACCAUCGGAAAGACGAAUCCCCUCGACAAAAUGAUGCCGAUAUUAUAUAUAGUCCGUACCGUACCUUAAGACUUAAUUGAAACCAGUUUUGAAAUGGGAUUGUGCCACGGUAAGAUUGUCCAUUAUCAAUGGCAAAACAAAAUAAAAAUAUAAAGCUAGAGAGACAAGAAACGUUCUUAUCGUGCCCCGUGACCAGACAGUGAAGUCAAUAUUGGUGGAACAGACAGCGACACGUGUCCGCAUUGUUGAGCAAUCAUUAGUAUUUUUGUAAAAAAAUUCGUUAUCGUAUCGUACACAAGACACGAGCCGGACAUGCCUACAUUCCACGACCUUAUCCCUAGACCAGUGAUUCUCAACCUUUUUUUGUUGCGGUACAUAUUUAACGAUUUCAAAAUUUGGCGGCACACAAAGAAAAAGAUAAAAAUUAUUUACUUACUACAACACACUGCAUAAAUAGUUUAUGACAAAAAAAAAAAAUAUACGAAAUAAACUAAUAUAUACUACAAUAACGACUAAACGUUUAUUAAGGGAUUAAUUACAAGCUAAUAAUAAAAAUAUUUUUAAUGCGAAAUUUGAGCUUGAUGUUUUUUGAUAAUUUCAUUUAUAUUUGGUCGUCAAAAUGACAAUUUUACUCUCAUAUCGUCCUCUACAUUUAACAAUCUUGAUCUUUUUUUAGUUUUAAUGUUGGCUAAUGCUGAAAAUCCGAAUUCACACAAAUAAGAUGUGGAAAAUUGUAAUAAUAUGUUUAAAGCUUUUUUUGGCUAUCAUUCCUAUCCUAUACUAUCAUAUCCUAUCACCUAACGUUAUCAUUAUCACUAUUAUCAUCAUUAAACUUUCUUCUUUUUAACCAUUUAUCCAUUUUCAGAAUGAUCUGAUAAAAUAAAAAUAAUAUUGUCGAAACAUUUAAAAAAAAUGGUUCAAAUAUUACCUUUGAAUUUAUAAUAAUCUAAAUUAUGCACUCACUUAUAAUUUAUGAAUAUGGAAAAUUAAACCUUUCUGAAAUUGUGAAACUUUCACUCAAAUACAAUUUUCCGUAGAUAAAACUUAAAUGUUAUGCGAAGAAAUACAGACACAGUGUGCGUGUGCAGCAAGUCAGCACAUAAGCUCGGGAUUCCCCGUGAGAUGUGUACACAGCGCACGUGUUCAAUCACAGUAUUUAGUAGAGUGCGAUAAAAACAAAAAAAACUUAUUUGGAAAACCGUGUAAAAGCGAAAACGUGUAAAACAAGUGCCGUGUAAAUCGGGGCAUAGGUGUACUGCAAAGUUAAUAAGUUUACAAAUUUAUAAAUUGACACUACAUGCAAAUAAAUUAAUAUUAAACCGAAUCACAUACAUUUGCCAAUUUUAACGAAAGAAAAGGUGCAGUAACUACUAUGCAACACCUUGUGAACCCCAACUAUCACUAAAACAACACGUUUUGUACGCAGAAGUGGCAAGUGUGCGCCGACUUGAGACAUAUUCCUAUUGCUAUGCACGCCGCUUCAUCAUAAUUUGGCACUAAGAAAAAACGCGUUGCAAAGCAAAUAAUAAAAUAAUUUAUUUUUUUGUGGAUUUAAAUAUAUAUUCAUGCUAAAAAUAUUUUUCUUUUUAAAUGAUAUAAUUUAAUAAUAUUAACAUUAUUAUAUAUUUGCAAAAUUUGGCGGCACACUUUUGAAAUUUGGCGGCACACAAAAGUGCCGCGGCACAGUGGUUGAGAAUCACUGCCCUAGACAUUCAUUCAUGUAAUGAUUGGAUUGUCCAUAUAGUAGAUUGUAGCUCUGAUCGAGAUACUAGAGGUCAGUUGUUAUUCGGUUGGUGCCAAUGCCCCCUAAACUGACGAAUUGCCUCUGUAGACUACUCUUUCAGUGUACAUAACGUUUCACUUUUCCUUUUUAUAUGUCUAAGCUGUCUCUUGAAACAAGUUUCUAAAGAGUCCUCAACGACUCUGGUAUCUGGCGCUAUAGAUGAAAUUGCUAGUGUACAUACACAAGCAUGAAUAAUUACCGGUAGGUAGCUAGAGAAUAUUUAAAUAUUCGUUGAACAUUGUAAAUCGAAACAAUCCUUUCCCUAAUCGUACUGGGUAAAAAUCACCCAUGUAGCAAAAGGAACUAAAUUAAUGGAACAUUUUUAAUUACAAAAAAUAAAUAAAACUCAAGUUGAUUAAAAUUAAUAUGUAUUUAUUUUUCAUUCUUUGACAACCAGAACAAAUCCUUUAAUAAUGUGCAUAUAAUAAAUUUCUAAUCUUUUAUAUUCAAUAUAGUAUUUUAUUUAGUCUCCAAAAAACCGAUGAUACAGCCGGAAAACAAUUAGAUUUUAUUUUUGGUAGAAAAUACGAUAGAAAUUAACGCAUACAAUAAUGAAAUACAUAUUAAUUAUAAAAUAAAUCAAUACUUUAUUAAUUAUUUAGAAAAUCACUAAAAUGAGUACUACUUACAAUUUUUAAAGAUGACGAACUUCUAUUUUACUUCAGUAUGGCAAUCGGCUUCUUGGAUAGAAAUCCAAUUCUAAUCAUCCAAUUCCAUGCAAUUACUUUAACGGAGUCUAGUAGCUCGUUGUAAUACAAGGAUUCGCCUUGAACUAGAAUUUUCUUGAGCUCGACCUAUAGGUAUUUAUCGUUUUCUGGGACGUAUUUCUCCAAUCCCGUCCAAUUCCUUAAUUUAAUUAUUUUUCCAAAAUCCAAGGAAGUAGUAGGUAAUAAUAACGGCGAGCUGUUAUUCCUCUAAACAACUAUUCGCGGCUCAGCUCAAACAAGUGACCUUGUAAAUUCUGUUGUGGUAUUGCGACAGCUGGAAAGGCAACAACGCAUCAGUUGAAGGCAUUAAAAUGAACAGCGAUCGGCAGACGAGCUCAAGGCCCAUUCAAUGUUAAGCGGUUACCAGAACACAUAUACAUUACAACGCAAAUGACCCAAUUAAUCAUUAUAGCAUAAUAGUUGUGUGCGGGCUCACAACUAUAGUACCUAGUCACUCGACUCAUAUACCCUGAGCGUCCUACGCAUUAGGCUGCUUGUUUGAUGCUUAAUAUACAUUUUAACCUAAAGUUUCUCUCGCGGCGGAAGAAGAUAUUCAUUGUUAUUUAUAUAAGCACCGGUAACUGCCUGAUAUCAGAUACGAGUGACCUCUUCCGAUCGUUUACAUAAAAAAUACAUAUUUUAUAAUAAUAAUUAAAAAUUCCUACGAAUUUUUGUACUACUUGAAUUUCCACUAACUACGAAACCUAUUUAUAUUUAGUUAGGAUUUGAAGUUGGAGAUUUACAGAAUAGCGGCAAAAGGCAGGUGUAUUGGCGGUGAACGACGCGGUUAUUAUUAAAACCUCAAAAAGGCAAACUGGUCGAAUUCAUAACAAGGAAACCUGGAUGAUAUGUGUAGCCAAUCGUAGGUGGUUCAGGAUACAUCACAUGAACGUUUGCUCAAAGUGGGAGUCGAAUCCACAACCCUCAGCCUCGUAGCAAGGCGCGCUAACCUACUCCGCCAACAAAUUGGUCAUCAACAACAAAUACCGGAAUAACUUAAAAUUACUAUGUAACCUAACCGUGAAAUGGAACAAUUUAUUGGGAUUUUUAGGGGCGUAUUUACACAAAUAUACACAACUCCAUUAUUGGAACACCAUAACCUCCACGCUUUUAUUAUAAAUUUGUAAAUUCUCAAAUGACAAUUUGUAAGAUAUGAUCAUGUUUAUUUAUUUUUAAUAUUGGCAAUGCAUUAGUAGCAAAAAAAAUUUUUCAGUCGUAAAAAUGACACUAGACUGCAUUAACAUUUAAGUAUCUUAUUUAUUUGGUAAAAUACAUUUUUUAAAUGUCAUUAGGUAUCAAUCACGAUCACUUGCAAUUUACUCGUAACAUUGCAUAUCACAUGAAUACCUAGUCUAGCCAUAAGUUCUAUUACAAAUGAAAAUGCAUUUUUUUUAAAUUAAGUAAUAUAAUAUUAUUAAAAUGUAUACAUACGUGUUUAUUAAAUUCUCAGCUCUAAAAAAA